rnacentral:rRNA from 1 species
UACGGAGGGUGCAAGCGUUAUCCGGAUUCACUGGGCUUAAAGGGCGCGUAGGUGGGUUGAUAAGUCAGUGGUGAAAUCCCCGAGCUUAACUUGGGAACUGCCAUUGAUACUAUUGAUCUUGAAUACCGUGGAGGUCAGCGGAAUAUGUCAUGUAGCGGUGAAAUGCUUAGAUAUGACAUAGAACACCAAUUGCGAAGGCAGCUGGCUACGCGAAUAUUGACACUGAUGCACGAAAGCGUGGGGAUCAAACAGG